rnacentral:rRNA from 2 species
CACGUAGGAGACGAGCGUUAUCCGGAUUUACUGGGCGUAAAGCGCGUGCAGGCGGUUCAGCAAGUUGGAUGUGAAAGCUCCCGGCUUAACUGGGAGAGGUCGUUCAAAACUACUGGACUAGAGAGUGGUAGAGGGAGGUGGAAUUCCGGGUGUAGUGGUGAAAUGCGUAGAUAUCCGGAGGAACACCAGUGGCGAAAGCGGCCUCCUGGACCAUUUCUGACGCUCAGACGCGAAAGCUAGGGUAGCAAAC